AUGCAAGUCGAACGGGGAUUAUUUUGACAGAGACUUCGGUUGAAGUCGUUAUAAUCCUAGUGGCGGACGGGUGAGUAACGCGUGGGUAACCUGCCUCACACUGGGGGAUAACAGUCAGAAAUGACUGCUAAUACCGCAUAAGCGCACGGGAUUGCAUGAUCCAGUGUGAAAAACUCCGGUGGUGUGAGAUGGACCCGCGUUGGAUUAGCCAGUUGGCAGGGUAACGGCCUACCAAAGCGACGAUCCAUAGCCGGCCUGAGAGGGUGGACGGCCACAUUGGGACUGAGACACGGCCCAGACUCCUACGGGAGGCAGCAGUGGGGAAUAUUGCACAAUGGGGGAAACCCUGAUGCAGCGACGCCGCGUGAAGGAAGAAGUAUCUCGGUAUGUAAACUUCUAUCAGCAGGGAAGAAAAUGACGGUACCUGACUAAGAAGCCCCGGCUAACUACGUGCCAGCAGCCGCGGUAAUACGUAGGGGGCAAGCGUUAUCCGGAUUUACUGGGUGUAAAGGGAGCGUAGACGGAGCAGCAAGUCUGAUGUGAAAGGCGGGGGCUCAACCCCCGGACUGCAUUGGAAACUGUUGAUCUUGAGUACCGGAGAGGUAAGCGGAAUUCCUAGUGUAGCGGUGAAAUGCGUAGAUAUUAGGAGGGACACCAGUGGCGAAGG
rnacentral:rRNA from 1 species